UUAAGUUCAGCGGGUAUCCCUACCUGAUCCGAGGUCAAGCGUGAAAAAAGGCUUGAUGGAUGCUGUCGUAAUAGCUACAAAGCGCAAUUUGCGCUGCGCUCCGAAACAAUACGUCGGCUGCCAAUUGCUUUAAGGCGAGUCCACGCACAAAGGCGGAACAAACACCCAACACCAAGCAGAGCUUGAAGGUACAAAUGACG
rnacentral:misc_RNA from 1 species